rnacentral:rRNA from 1 species
UACGUAGGUGGCAAGCGUUGUCCGGAUUUACUGGGCGUAAAGAGCGCGCAGGCGGUCGGCCAAGUCGAGUGUGAAAGCCCCCGGCUCAACUGGGGAGGGUCAUUCGAUACUGGUCGACUCGAAGGCAGGAGAGGGAAGCGGAAUUCCCGGUGUAGUGGUGAAAUGCGUAGAUAUCGGGAGGAACACCAGUGGCGAAGGCGACUACCUGGCCUGUUCUUGACGCUGAGGCGCGAAAGCUAGGGGAGCAAACGGG